AAUCCGAGGUUGGAAAAAAAUAUGAAAAUUGUUUCAAAAUUCCGAGGUUGGAAAAAAAAAUGAAAAUUUUUUCAAUAUUCCGAGGUUGGAAAAAAAAAAUUUUCAUUUUUUUUUUCCAACCUCGGAAUUUUGAAAAAAUUUUCAUUUUUUUUUCCAACCUCGGAAUU
rnacentral:miRNA from 1 species